UACAGAGGGUGCAAGCGUUAAUCGGAAUUACUGGGCGUAAAGCGUGCGUAGUCGGUUAUCUAAGUCGGGUGUGAAAUCCCCGGGCUCAACCUGGGAAUUGCAUUCGAUACUGGAUAGCUAGAGUUCGGCAGAGGGAAGCGGAAUUCCGGGUGUAGUGGUGAAAUGCGUAGAUAUCCGGAGGAACACCAGUGGCGAAGGCGGCCUUCUGGGAUGCUCCUGACGCUCAGACACGAAAGCUAGGGGAGCGAACGGG
rnacentral:rRNA from 1 species